GAGGCACAGAUGGUUUGCUCUUGGCUACUAACCAAGAGGUUGGUGGUUCAAAUCCACCC
rnacentral:tRNA from 1 species